rnacentral:rRNA from 1 species
UACGUAGGGUGCGAGCGUUAUUCGGAAUUACUGGGCGUAAAGCGUGCGUAGGCGGUUUUGUAAGUCUGUCGUGAAAUCCCCGGGCUCAACCUGGGAAUUGCGAUGGAGACUGCAAGGCUAGAAUCUGGCAGAGGGGGGUAGAAUUCCACGUGUAGCAGUGAAAUGCGUAGAUAUGCGGAGGAACACCGAUGGCGAAGGCAAUCCCCUGGGCCUGCACUGACGCUCAUGCACGAAAGCGUGGGGAGCAAACAGG